rnacentral:misc_RNA from 1 species
AACUAGAGCUAUUAAUCGAGUCAUAUCAGCCAUGUUGUUAGCAUCAGGGAGUGCAAACUUGAACAACAGCAUCUUCUUAUGUGUUCCAGGGUGUUGAUCAGAAAAAUGCAUCGAGAUGAAACCCUUGCCAAAUUUCUCAAAAGCCUUUUCACCAAAAACCUGCUCAAGCACAGUCUCAGUGAUCAAAUCCCCAGCAACCUCCUUGGACUCUGAAAUA